rnacentral:rRNA from 1 species
UAGGGAAUCUUCCGCAAUGGACGCAAGUCUGACGGAGCAACGCCGCGUGGGUGAAGAAGGAUUUCGGUUCGUAAAACUCUGUUGUUAGAGAAGAACAGCGCAUAGAGUAACUGUUAUGCGUGUGACGGUAUCUAACCAGAAAGCCACGGCUAACUACGUGCCAGCAGCCGCGGUAAUACGUAGGUGGCAAGCGUUGUCCGGAUUUAUUGGGCGUAAAGCGAGCGCAGGCGGUCAAUUAAGUCUGAUGUGAAAGCCCCCGGCUCAACCGGGGAGGGUCAUUGGAAACUGGUUGACUUGAGUGCAGAAGAGGAGAGUGGAAUUCCAUGUGUAGCGGUGAAAUGCGUAGAUAUAUGGAGGAACACCAGUGGCGAAGGCGACUCUCUGGUCUGUAACUGACGCUGAGGCUCGAAAGCGUGGGUAGCAAACAGG